UUCCGGUUGAUCCUGCCGGAGGCCAUUGCUAUCGGAGUCCGAUUUAGCCAUGCUAGUUGCUCGGGUUUAGACCCGUGGCGAAAAGCUCAGUAACACGUGGCCAAGCUACCCUGUGGACCAUAAUAACCUCGGGAAACUGAGGACAAUUGUGGGUAACGCUCCCCCUAUUGGAAUAUGGGGAGCUGGAAAUGCGUUAUGCGCCACAGGAUGCGGCUGCGUCCGAUUAUGUUGACGGUGGGGUAACGGCCCACCGUGCCCAUAAUCGGUACGGGUUGUGAGAGCAAGAGCCCGGAGACGGAAUCUGAGACAAGAUUCCGGGCCCUACGGGGCGCAGCAGGCGCGAAACCUUUACACUGCACGACAGUGCGAUAGGGGGACUCCGAGUGCGAGGGCAUAGAGCCCUCGCUUUUGUGUACCCUAAAGUGGUACACGAAUAAGGGCUGGGCAUGACCGGUGCCAGCCGCCGCGGUAAUACCGGCAGCCCAAGUGAUGGCUGAUAU
rnacentral:rRNA from 1 species